rnacentral:rRNA from 1 species
CCUACGGGAGGCUGCAGUGGGGAAUAUUGGACAAUGGGCGAAAGCCUGAUCCAGCCAUGCCGCGUGUGUGAAGAAGGCCUUCGGGUUGUAAAGCACUUUCAGUGGGGAAGAAAGCCUUGGGGCUAAUACCCUCGAGGAAGGACAUCACCCACAGAAGAAGCACCGGCUAACUCCGUGCCAGCAGCCGCGGUAAUACGGAGGGUGCGAGCGUUAAUCGGAAUUACUGGGCGUAAAGCGCGCGUAGGCGGUCUGAUAAGCCGGUUGUGAAAGCCCCGGGCUCAACCUGGGAACGGCAUCCGGAACUGUCAGGCUAGAGUGCAGGAGAGGAAGGUAGAAUUCCCGGUGUAGCGGUGAAAUGCGUAGAGAUCGGGAGGAAUACCAGUGGCGAAGGCGGCCUUCUGGAAUGACACUGACGCUGAGGUGCGAAAGCGUGGGUAGCAAACAGGAUUAGAUACCCGUGUAGUC